UUGUGUACGCUCCGAAUGCAUUUGUGACAUCAGAUUUUCACUGGGGAAAUGAAAAAAAAGCAACAAACCCGACAACCCACGUUUAUGAAAACCCAAGAAACCAAGCUGGCCUUUUUGAAACGUGGCAGGCUGAGGAGUGUAGUUGUAUAUUAGACCUGUUGAAGCUGGAAGACACACCUUUAGAAGAGACAAAAAAUAUUCCUGAGGUGCUGAAAACCAGGAGUUCAGAGUUGAAAAGGCUGCUGACAACCUCUCAUGGUGCUCUGUUUCAGAAGCUGUGAUUUCAAGAGGAAGCAAAGUGGGUCCUAAACGCUACUGAUAGCUGAAAAUUAGGAGAUGAAGAACACUUCAGAACGUUUAAGUGUGGAAUUGAAGGUAAACCCGCAGAGGUGUGUGAAGCUCUCAGGACCUGUACCCCAAGCACAGCAGUUAAAUCUUCCUUGCAAUAGACUGGAAGAUUUUAAGACCCAAAGGGAUCAGUGCGAUCGACAGAUUUGAUCUUCCAUAUAAGAGAGAUCAGAAAAUGUCCUGCAGUAAUUCUUACAUCACAUCUAAGAAGUUUUAGGCUACAGAAGAGUAUAUAUUCAGCUAAGGCAUCCAGACCCAGCUUCCAAGAUUUAGAGAUAUGGAGUGUUCACUGCCAGCCUUUUAAAAAUUGAUCUACCUGCCCUUAUUGCUAAGGAGGUUUGUCCAAUAUCCAGUUCCAACAGCUCUUUCUUCAGCAGAGGAAACCACUGCUGUUCACCCCCCAGCUUUUUAUUACCCUCUUCAUUUUCUCUGAGCAGUAAAAUAUGAAGCAUAUUUUACAAAGUGAAGUAAAUAACGAGAUUGAAAUAAAUUGCACAAAAAAGGAGGUGCUUGGCAGUGUUUCUGACUGCCACUGUCUGGGAGAAUCAAUGGGAGACAGUCACAGUCAGAUAUCCAUUAAGUACAGAGUGCAUUAGUAAUUGCUUUAAUCAUCUUUCAUGCAAUAACCAUCACUGCUGUGUUCUCCUCUGCUCAGACUGUUUUCCUUCCCUUCCUCAUUGGAAAUGUUCCAUCACACAGCUUCCCUUGGUGCAGACCAAGCACAGCAAGCAGCAAAUGCUUUCCACUUUAUGCUUCGGGAAUUUCUACAGGUUUAACAGUUUUAAAACAGGCAUUAAGCGUCUCUUCCUUGUGUGUUUUUUUCAGAUGUGAAAAUCUUUAAAACUCCCGAAUAUGCACCAUUUGACCUACUGAGCCUAAUAAUUUAGUGGCAUAAACCCUUAAACAUGAAGUCAACACUUAGUUUAGACAAAGUGUCAACAGUGUGUAGGCAACAAGCUGACACAAAUCUUAAAGAAUUUAGCUUUUAAAAAGCCUUAAUUCCUUCUUUACUCCAAUUCUCUGCAAAAGAACCUUUCCACAGCUUUAUAUGGCUCUUUAAGCUAUGUCAGCAUGAGUGGUAGCUUAAAGGUACAGCAAUUAAAUUAUGAGCAAACGUAUGUAAAAACAUAGUGUAAGAAUGUUUCCAAAAACGGACUUUACAGGAAAUCAAUAGAUUUUCACUGAGGUAGAUUGCCCAGCAUCAUCAGUGAAUGAAUUUUACUAAACCAGCUGUAGCAAGAGAAUCAAACCCAAGCACCACCAAGGAAAGCAAUUGUAUUCAUUAGGAACCCACAGGACCAUCUCAGAUGACACAGCUUUUCACAAGCAGCUAUGCAACUCCAGGGAGUCCCAUUUGAAUCUCAGCUCCAUCAUGCUGCAGUUCCAUCUUUGUAUAUUCAAAAUAAUAAUA